CGGUAAAAGAUGAGCAUGCGUCCCAUUAGCUAGUUGGUAAGGUAACGGCUUACCAAGGCUACGAUGGGUAGGGGUCCUGAGAGGGAGAUCCCCCACACUGGUACUGAGACACGGACCAGACUCCUACGGGAGGCAGCAGUGAGGAAUAUUGGACAAUGGGCGCAAGCCUGAUCCAGCCAUGCCGCGUGCAGG
rnacentral:rRNA from 1 species